UCUCUCUGUACGGGAAGGAUGAGAAGCUUCGACUAAGGUUCGAUUCGAGCGAAAGCGAGAAAGCGUUGCCGCAGGCAACGACCCGAAGGGCGAAACGCGCAGCGCUGAGUCAUCCUUCCCCCACCACCA
rnacentral:sRNA from 4 species